GCGUGUCGUGACCCGCUGCGCUGUUCACGCUGCCUCCAGAAUGGCCAUAAAUCUCGUGGUUGCAAGAACCAGUGGAAGCCAUUAAGCUUGCUGGACUCCCCCGGAGUGCCUCCACCCCCUCUCCCUCGGCUUGCCGCUGUUGCUGUCCAAGUAGCAGCUCCUCGCUCUGGUCGUGGCUGGGAGAAUCCUCUGCUGCCUACUGCAACCUCUCCGGCCACGAUGCUCCGCCUCGGUGAUGCGUCGCUCCGUCCGGAGGAGGACUACGUCGUCGUCCCUGCAACGCCUGAGAUGCAGGCUGAGUCUGCUCUCCUCUCCACCAACGGGGCAGUUGCCUGGCUAGAAGGCGCCAGGCAGGACGUCUCCUGCCAGCAGGUGGCCUCCGAGCUGGCAAAGGCCUUGGGGGCACGCCAGACUGAUGUCGAAGUCGUCAAGCACUACCCCGAGCAGUUCUUCGUCCGCUUCACGUUCCAGCACCACUGCGCCCUGGCGGUCUCCCUUGGCCAUCUUCCUGGCGCUGGCUACCUCAUCUAUGUGAGGGAGUGUCGGCUCGAGGCGCACGCCGACAACGAGGACCAGCUACACCAUGUUCGCCUAUGCUUGGAGGGCGUCCCACUACACGGAUGGAACAACUACGUCGCCACCUUUCUCAUCGGCCGUGGCUGCUCCCUCGACUACAUCGAG
rnacentral:rRNA from 1 species